UACCAGACUCCUACGGGAGGCAGCAGUGGGGAAUAUUGCACAAUGGGGGAAACCCUGAUGCAGCGACGCCGCGUGAGUGAAGAAGUAUUUCGGUAUGUAAAGCUCUAUCAGCAGGGAAGAAAAUGACGGUACCUGAUUAAGAAGCCCCGGCUAACUACGUGCCAGCAGCCGCGGUAAUACGUAGGGGGCAAGCGUUAUCCGGAUUUACUGGGUGUAAAGGGAGCGUAGACGGCAGCGCAAGCCUGGAGUGAAAUGCCGGGGCGCAACCCCGGAACUGCUUUGGAAACUGUGCAGCUAGAGUGCGGGAGAGGUAAGCGGAAUUCCUAGUGUAGCGGUGAAAUGCGUAGAUAUUAGGAGGAACACCAGUGGCGAAGGCGGCUUGCUGGACUGUAACUGACGUUGAGGCUCGAAAGCGUGGGGAGCAAACAGGAUUAGAUACCCCAGUAAAA
rnacentral:rRNA from 1 species